GACGAACGCUGGCGGCGUGCCUAAUACAUGCAAGUAGGACGCACAGUUUAUACCGUAGCUUGCUACACCAUAGACUGUGAGUUGCGAACGGGUGAGUAACGCGUAGGUAACCUGCCUAUUAGAGGGGGAUAACUAUUGGAAACGAUAGCUAAUACCGCAUAACAGUAUGUAACACAUGUUAGAUGCUUGAAAGAUGCAAUUGCAUCGCUAGUAGAUGGACCUGCGUUGUAUUAGCUAGUAGGUAGGGUAAAGGCCUACCUAGGCAACGAUACAUAGCCGACCUGAGAGGGUGAUCGGCCACACUGGGACUGAGACACGGCCCAGACUCCUACGGGAGGCAGCAGUAGGGAAUCUUCGGCAAUGGGGGGAACCCUGACCGAGCAACGCCGCGUGAGUGAAGAAGGUUUUCGGAUCGUAAAGCUCUGUUGUUAAGGAAGAACGAGUGUGAGAAUGGAAAGUUCAUACUGUGACG
rnacentral:rRNA from 1 species